rnacentral:snRNA from 1 species
AUACUACUGCUGAGUGGUCUCCCAUCCUAGUACUAACCAGGCCUGACCUUGCUUAGCCUCCAGGAUCAGAUGAGGCGCAUGCAGCAGCACAAAUACUAAACUUGGAACAAUAUAGAGAAGGUCAGCACAGCCUCUACUCCAUGUGGAAAAGAGUGGUUUUCUGAGAACCAGAGGAUCCCGUUGACAGUCGAAAUAUCCCACGUCAUAUAAAGCUGUCAACACCUGAGGGUGAGGUUCCCCAGGAUCAUAUUAGAAAUGGUUACCAUACUCCUCAACAGGAAGCAACAGCUUGGCUAUGAGGAGAGAAAAGAUACUGCAAAGUGCCUUCCAGUCCACCUUCAUAAACAUCAUGCUGAACUGGACCCAGCGAUCACAGACCCAAGGAUGAGGUCACUCUGGUGGGGAAGAGAAAUGAGGCAACACCCCUCCAUGUUAAAGACUGUCCUGUAAAUGGAGCACAUGCAUCUGCAUGGUGCAGAAGUAUCCACCCCCG